rnacentral:rRNA from 1 species
GUGUCAGCAGCCGCGGUAAGACGAACCGUCCGAACGUUAUUCGGUAUCACUGGGCUUAAAGAGUUCGUAGGCGGCCAAGCAGGUCAGGUGUGAAAUCCCACAGCUCAACUGUGGAACUGCGCUUGAAACCGCAUGGCUCGAGGGAGAUAGAGGUAAGCGGAACAGAUGGUGGAGCGGUGAAAUGCGUUGAUAUCAUCUGGAACACCGGUGGCGAAAGCGGCUUACUGGAUCUCUUCUGACGCUGAGGAACGAAAGCUAGGGUAGCGAACGGGAUUAGAUACCCCGGUAGUCCUAGCCGUAAACGAUGAGCACUAGUCCGUGGGAACCCUCACAUUUUCUCGGACGUAGCGAAAGUAUUAAGUGCUCCGCCUGGGGAGUAUGGUCGCAAGGCUGAA